AGAGUUUGAUCCUGGCUCAGGAUGAACGCUGGCGGCGUGCCUAAUACAUGCAAGUCGAGCGAACAGACGAGGAGCUUGCUCCUCUGACGUUAGCGGCGGACGGGUGAGUAACACGUGGAUAACCUACCUAUAAGACUGGGAUAACUUCGGGAAACCGGAGCUAAUACCGGAUAAUAUAUUGAACCGCAUGGUUCAAUAGUGAAAGACGGUUUUGCUGUCACUUAUAGAUGGAUCCGCGCCGCAUUAGCUAGUUGGUAAGGUAACGGCUUACCAAGGCAACGAUGCGUAGCCGACCUGAGAGGGUGAUCGGCCACACUGGAACUGAGACACGGUCCAGACUCCUACGGGAGGCAGCAGUAGGGAAUCUUCCGCAAUGGGCGAAAGCCUGACGGAGCAACGCCGCGUGAGUGAUGAAGGUCUUCGGAUCGUAAAACUCUGUUAUUAGGGAAGAACAAAUGUGUAAGUAACUAUGCACGUCUUGACGGUACCUAAUCAGAAAGCCACGGCUAACUACGUGCCAGCAGCCGCGGUAAUACGUAGGUGGCAAGCGUUAUCCGGAAUUAUUGGGCGUAAAGCGCGCGUAGGCGGUUUUUUAAGUCCGAUGUGAAAGCCCCCGGCUCAACCGGGGAGGGUCAUUGGAAACUGGGGAACUUGAGUGCAGAAGAGGAGAGUGGAAUUCCAUGUGUAGCGGUGAAAUGCGUAGAUAUAUGGAGGAACACCAGUGGCGAAGGCGACUCUCUGGUCUGUAACUGACGCUGAGGCUCGAAAGCGUGGGUAGCAAACCAGGAUUAGAUACCCUGGUAGUCCACGCCGUAAACG
rnacentral:rRNA from 1 species